rnacentral:rRNA from 1 species
UACAGAGGGGGCAAGCGUUAUUCGGAAUUAUUGGGCGUAAAGGGCGCGUAGGCGGCUUUGCAAGUGACGGGUGAAAUCCCUCGGCUUAACCGAGGAACUGCCUGUCAGACUGUGAGGCUUGAGACCGGGAGAGGUGAGUGGAAUUCCCAGUGUAGCGGUGAAAUGCGUAGAUAUUGGGAGGAACACCGGUGGCGAAGGCGGUUCUCUGGGAAUGUCCUGACGCUGAGGAGCGAAAGUGUGGGGAGCGAACAGG